rnacentral:snRNA from 1 species
GCACUGGCUUCAGCAGCACAUAUACUAAAAUUGGAACAAUACAGAGAAGAUUAGCACGGCCCCUGCUCAAGGACGACAUGCAAAUUCGUGAAGCAUUCCAUAUUUUU